rnacentral:lncRNA from 1 species
GACAGGGGUGGGCCUGGAGCCAUCUGGAGUCCGCCCAGGGAGCAAAGGUCAGCUGCUCGACCAAGGAGAGUCGCUGGCUCAGGCCAUGGAGCUGUGGAGCUGUGGAGAAGCUGCAGCCGGACCCGUCCCGGGGCUUGGGGAGGUGGAGGAGGAAGAGGAGGAGGAGGAAUUGGACCCUGCUGCCAAUGCCGCCUGUGGGAACAGGAGGGAGGCUACUGAGUGGGGAUAGGGGGAGGCCCACGAGUGGCCUCCCAGGAAAGCUGAGAAGACCAAGGAGAGAAGAAGCCCUGAGGUUGAUGUUGGAGGGAAGUUGACGUGACAAGUAACACGAUCAUCCCAACAGUCCAGGGAUCAAGAUUUGCCUCUGUGUUUUUAAGGUUUUCUUCAAACGCUUAAUAUAGUGCCCUGCAC